ACCCCCCAGAAGACUGGGGCGAGCAGGAGCCGCCAGCAGAGAGAAGCCGAUCAAGGAGGAUGGGGAACACUUCCCUCCUGGGAAGGAAGGGGGGAUGGAGAAAGGAUCAUUUACAAAAAGAAGGGAGAUGAGAGAGAGAGAGAGAGAGAGAGAGAGAGAGAGAGAGAUGGAAUGUCUCCGGAGUUGGGUGAAGUGUGCAAAUCCCGACAAAUCCUUGAGCACUGCAGCCAUUAAAGGGGGAGAGGAUACCCGCCCCUCUUCCCCACACCCAGCCAGGAAAGAUGCUCACCUCCUUAGCAUCCUAAAACUCCUCUCUCUUCUCAACUGUCUCCAGCCACUGCCUGCAGUUCUCCAUCGGAUCUAAACCUGUCCCAGAAGAAAGCGGCCAAAGAGAAAUACGCAAGAAGGGCCACCUUGGAGGAAACUUGCUGGAGAGCUUCUUUCUCCUCCCGGCUGGACCUCAUCCUUAUCCUCUCUCUCUCUCUCUCCCACCCCCCCUCCUCUUGCCAUUCCCCACCCCUCCCUUGCUGCAGCUGGGGGUGGGACGGAAUAGCCUUCCCUCUGCCCUUUCCUCGAUCCAACAGGCUCCCUUCUCUUUCCAGCCCAGAGCGCUUUAAAAAGCUCUUCCUCUUGUGCCGGAGCCACUCGGGUCAGGAGGGAGCGGGUCGCAUCCUGCCUUGCUUUGCCUUGCCAGAGGAGGAGAGAGGAGUAGAAGAGGGGCAGGGUUUAACCCGUCGGCUGCCAGGGCCCUCUCCUGAAAGCAGCUGCCCUCUCCCUCGCCUCCUGCCCGACUGCACAGGACACCUCCCUCCACACACACACACAAACACGCACACACCUCAGAACAGAAAACCCCACACCGUAACUGCUGCCUGGCGCCUGAGAAGGAGAAACCACCUCUGCCUCGUUUCAGCCGGGAUCUCAGAAGAAGAAAACAAGAGAAAGCGGCUCAAAAGCAGUCAAGCAACCCAAUGAAAAGAAGACUUGAAGUGACUGGUCUUUAUCAUUCCUGGCCUUCUUUUGAGGCAGAUCUUUUCUUGGAUAAGAGCUGGAAAAAUACAACUGCUACCACUUUUGUAAUGAGAAACAACCCCCCCUCACUCUUGUGGUGCCUUCUGCCCUGCAGCUCCCCUUUCUUCCUUCUUC